rnacentral:rRNA from 1 species
AUUGAACGCUGGCGGCAUGCUUUACACAUGCAAGUCGAACGGUAACAGGGUGCUUGCACCGCUGACGAGUGGCGAACGGGUGAGUAAUGCGUCGGAACGUGCCGAGUAGUGGGGGAUAACGCAGCGAAAGUUGUGCUAAUACCGCAUACGUACUGAGGUAGGAAGUGGGGGACCUUCGGGCCUCACGCUAUUCGAGCGGCCGACGUCUGAUUAGCUAGUAGGUGAGGUAAAGGCUCACCUAGGCGACGAUCAGUAGCGGGUCUGAGAGGAUGAUCCGCCACACUGGGACUGAGACACGGCCCAGACUCCUACGGGAGGCAGCAGUGGGGAAUUUUGGACAAUGGGCGAAAGCCUGAUCCAGCCAUGCCGCGUGUCUGAAGAAGGCCUUCGGGUUGUAAAGGACUUUUGUCAGGGAGGAAAUCCCUAGUGCUAAUAACACUGGGGGAUGACAGUACCCGAAGAAUAAGCACCGGCUAACUACGUGCCAGCCGCCGCGGUAA